CAGACGUCAGUUCUUUCCUCUUGCUCAGAUCCCCUUUCCCCUUUCGUUUUCUUCCCUUUCUCCCAUCCAUCGCCGCGCCAGUUCUUCCCCCGCAAUUACCACCAUGGACCCCCCUCCGUGCUCUUAAUUUUCUAGCCCUUCCAUCUGCUGCAGUCUCCGGCGGCGGCAUCACAACCAUGGAUCGGAGGUCUUUCAACUCAGCAUCCUCCCCGGCCCUUCGAAGAGUCCACGUAUCCGGCGGCGAAUCAGGGAGUUCUUCUCCUUCUUCCUGUUGCCGUCCGCCGAUUGCGCCAACAAUGGUUGUGGUCAAGGUGUCGCAGAGCCUGAUUUCCUUUGCUAUUGCGGUAAUCCCGCUCGGAUUUUAACUUCCGGCACCUGACGGAAUCCGCGUCGCAAGUUCGUCGUGUGCCACAAGCGAGGUUAUGCUUUGCUUUGUUUGAUUUGAAUAAUCUGAAAAUGUUGUAGAUAAGGAAAAAUCAUGCAACAGGUCAUCUUAACAUUACACAUUUUUAGCAAAUGAAUGGAACAUCAUGGGACAAGUCUUCUAAAUAGGUACACAUUUUCAGAAUCAAUGUUCCUCCUUUUCCUUUUCAGAUUGUUAAUAUUAGGCAUAGAUAACUCUAUUUCGUUACCGGUGCUAACUGUCGUAACAUGUUACCUAUGGCUCACUAUCAAAUUAUACCACAUUUAUAUGUACGGAACCAAUAGAGUUUCAGAAUCCCAUGUUUGCUUUUCGUGAGCACCAUUUACUGAACUUCUAAGCAGGCACGAUCAAUCUCUAAUUGUUGCAUGUUCCAAAUUUAUAGAUCCAUAAUGUGAAGAAUUGGCAGGUCAUUUUUAGAAAUGACCUCUGCACUAAACCAUAGAUACAUGCAAUAUGAUAUCCAUUUAUUGCUUCAAUUCGACCAAGUAGGCACAAAUGGUAGAGUAACUUGCAUACUUUCUGAGUGAUACUCAUCCCUGAACCUGGGCGAGCCAAAUAGCCGAUCUGAAAUAUUAUUCACCGAACCAUGAUAAGCCAUACAAUCUAAAUGGUAAAAAAUGAUGCCUCAAGGCAAAUUGACUUAAAUAUAGAUAUGCUAUUAUUCUUAAAAUAAAUAUGUAGUCACCCAAAUUCACUAUGAAACCAUGCUAUGUUACCAUCUAAUAAGUUUAUCUCUACUACUAAAAAGAGGCUAAGGGUGAUGUUUUUUUCGUCUACACAAUUUGGUUAAGCCUCGGACGGUUGCAGAUCGGCCGUUCGAUCUGCAGCCAAGAAUUGUUGAAUCAGUUUGUUACUAAAGGGGUAGGCCAACGAAGGCUCCAGCUACUCUAAACAAUGCAGAUGAGGGUUGUUCAGAUCCCAGAGCAAAACAGCUGAGUUUGGAGGCAGUUACUGCACUCUGUUCCGCAUUCAAGGAUUCUAUUUCCAAAGCAAUUGAUUAGAUCAUAGACACAACACAAGUCUUGAUGGAGCACAUUAGUAGUUGAUGAUGCAGCUGGCUGAACAUGGAGAAAAUUGUGUAGAGCUAAUGUACCAACUUCUCAGCAUGGCAGGCAAUUAGGAGGCAUACCAGAUUUGUUGAUUGACCUCCUGGAAAUUUGAUGAUGAUGCCUGUGUAACAUUAGGCCAUUCACAGUGUCUGUUUGUUUUGUUUUUCUUUUUGGUGGGAAGCAAGUGACAUUGUUUAGGUCUGUUCUUUUGCUCACCAUUCAACUUAGGUUUCAAUGGCUCUGUUAUAUCGAACACUAUCUAAGUGUCACCAACUGUGAUUGAACCAUUGUACUGUUCCUGCCUUUUGCUUCUCAACAGCUGGGCAGCUGUUUCAGACCAGAUUGGUUAAAAUAUUCUGUUACUGAACCUAA